GCUUCCAGUGGCUCAGUCGGUAGAGCACUGCGCCAGCCACGCAGAGAUCGUGGGUUCGAACCCCGGGUAAGCU